UUACCAGCUUGACAUGAAAGAAAUUCUGAAAGGCACAGGUGGUGCAUGGCUGUCGUCAGCUCGUGUCGUGAGAUGUUGGGUUAAGUCCCGCAACGAGCGCAACCCCGACUUAGUUACCAUCAAUGGGACUCUAAGUGACUGCCGGUGAUAACCGGAGGAAGGUGAGGACGACGUCAAGUCAUCAUGCCCCUUACGCUGGGCUACACACGUCCUACAAUGGUAGACAAGAGGCACCGCGAGGCAAGCAAUCUCAAAAUAAUCUCAGUUCGGAUUGUAGGCUGCAACUCGCCUACAUGAAGUCGGAAUCGCUAGUAACCGUAAUCAGAAUGUACGGUGAAUACGUUCCCGGGCCUUGUACACACCGCCCGUCACACCACGAAAGUUUGCAACCGAA
rnacentral:rRNA from 1 species